rnacentral:rRNA from 1 species
CACGUAGGGUCCGAGCGUUGUCCGGAAUUACUGGGCGUAAAGCGUGCGCAGGCGGUUGGGUCAGUCGCUGGUGAAAGCCCCACGCUCAACGUGGGAAUGGCCAACGAGACGGCCCGACUGGAGGCAGGGAGAGGCCGGUGGAAUUCCGGGUGUAGUGGUGAAAUGCGUAGAGAUCCGGAGGAACACCAGAGGCGAAGGCGGCCGGCUGGACCUGACCUGACGCUAAGGCACGAAGGCGUGGGGAGCGAACGGG